rnacentral:piRNA from 1 species
UAGAGGCAACGUUGUAAUAGCCUUGGUUC